rnacentral:tRNA from 2 species
GCCGAAGUGGCGGAAUUGGUAGACGCGCUGGAUUCAAAAUCCAGUGGAGGUUAACUUCGUAAGGGUUCGAGUCCCUUCUUCGGCA